rnacentral:rRNA from 1 species
GACGAACGCUGGCGGCGCGCUUAACACAUGCAAGUCGAGCGGUAAGGCCCUUUCGGGGGUACGACGAGCGGCGAACGGGUAGGAGUAACAACGUGGGUGGACCUCGCCCUUACGUCUCUGGGAGUAAAGACCUCGGGAAACGUAGGGUCGUAAUAACCGGACGUAUGACUCCAUGACGCAUGUUGUGGGGUGGGAAAGCCUUGUGCGGCUAGGGAUGGGCCCGCCGGCCUAUCAGCUUGUUGGU